rnacentral:lncRNA from 10 species
GUGACAUUCACUUAAAGAGGAAUUCUACAGUUUUUUGAGACAGGGUCUCCCUCUGUCAUUCAGACUGUGCAGUGGCAUGAUCACAGCUCAUUGCACCCUCUACCUCCAAGGCUCAAGCAAUCCUCCCACCUCAGCCUCCCAAGUAGCUGGCAUUACAGGUGCACACCAUGACGCCCGGCUAAUUUUGUAUUUUUUAUACGGAUGGGGUUUUGCCAUGUGGCCCAGGCGGUCUCAAACUCCUGAGCUCAAGCGACCCUCCUGCCUGGGCCUCCCAAAGCAUCGGGAUUACAAGCAGGAGCCACCGUGCUCAGCCUUCAAAAAGAAGAAAAAAUAAUAAAGGCAAGUGAAGGUAUGAAGAAGGAGGAGGAGAAGAAGGAGAAGAAAAGAAUUGAGAACUCUUGCUAACCAGCCACUCCGGGUGAAAUUUUGACCCCUUUGGUCUUGCCCAUCACUCAGAGCCAUUUCUGUGGCUUGCAACCAGGAACUCCCAAGUGACAUGGAAAUAUUACUGGAUUUAAUUGAGUCCACCCUCACCUAGCCUCAGGGGCUCUUCUACCACUCAGAUGGGCAUUCUCCUCCAUAGAUCAUCUUUUUUUUUUUUUUUUUUUUUUUUCCGAGACGGAGUCUCGUUCUGUCACCCAGCCUGGAGUGCAAUGGUGCAACCUCGGCUCACUGCAACCUCCACCACCCAGGUUCAAGCAAUUAUCCUGCCUCGGCUUCCCAAGUGGCUGGGACUACAGGCACAUGCCACCAUGCCCGGCUAAUUUUUUUGUAUUUUUAGUAGAGACGGAGUUUCACCGUGUUAGCCAGGAUGGUCUCAAUCUCCUGACCUUCUGAUCCACCCCCCUCAGCCUCCCAAAGUGCUGGGAUUAUAGGUGUGAGCCACCACACCCGGCCCUUAGAUCAUCUUAAUGCCAGGAAAUCUUACAAAGUCUCUGUGCAUUCACCCCACCACGGCAUGGAAAAAAACAUAACAUUGUCCUGAGGAACUUGACCACUAACAUAUCUAAGUGGAAAAAUACCCAUUCAUCCCUGACCGUUAUUUACAUUCUCUAAGUUAAGCUUAACAUCCUCUCUAGUUCCACCAGUAAUUAUGUUUUUAAAAUGCUGUCAGUUGUUUUCCAGUGAUGCAUAUUGAUAUCUG